CGGGCUGCCCGCGGCGCCUUUUCAGUAAUCAGCAGACAGGUUUAACAGAGCGUAAUGGAAAUUAUCUAUAAAGAAAUUGAACCUAACGCCAAAAGAAAAACGGUACACUGCUUAUGUGAAACUUGUUGAGGAGAUGCUUUAAUAAUCCAGUUUUACAUUCAGGCAGCUGUUUGUACAGCCUUAGUUUGAUUGGGGGUGGGACCGAGUCGGGCUGUUUUACAACAUCUUUAGCUACAUUUUUUGACUAGACCUCAGUUCUACUAAACCCGGCUUGGUUCGGCCUUGUAAUUCAUAUUAAAGUUUUCCUCUACAGUUUUGUUUUUUCCUGAGGCUGAAAAAGAUUCUUUAUUUUCUCGCCGCUUCAUCAGUCAGCUUCUGGACCUGGUUCGGUCUGGGAACGGGUCCAAUUCGGCUGCAGUUUUACUUUAAAAAGGCUGUUCUUAUAAAGGGUGAGGCGCCCACCUGUCUUGGUUCUUCUUCUGUGGUUCAGUCAUGGAGCUGGCCUAUGUGUGUGACUGGGAGAAGCGUCCGAAGAGCACCCACUGUCCGUCCGUCCCACUGGUGAGUUCCUGGUCCUGCAGGAACCUGGUGGCCUUCACCACCGACCUGAAGAACGACGAUGACGACACCAAAGAUGUCAGUCACAUGAUCCACAUCAUCGACACAGAGCAUCCAUGGGACGUUUUCUCCAUCAAUUCUGGCCACAGAGAGGUCAUUUCCUGUCUGGAGUGGGACCAAUCAGGCUCCCGCCUGCUGUCGGCGGACGGCGACGGCAGGAUCCAGUGCUGGUCGAUGUCAGAGCACCUGGUGAACAGCUGGGAGAGCGCCCUGAGCAGCUCAGUGGAUGGAGACCCCAUCGUGGCGCUGAGCUGGCUGCACAACGGCGUCAAGCUGGCACUGCAUGUAGAGAUGUCUGGCUCCACCAACUUUGGAGAAAAGUUCUCGCGGGUCAAGUUCUCACCAUCGCUGACGCUCUUCGGCGGGAAGCCGAUGGAAGGCUGGCUGGCGGUGACGGUGAGCGGCCUGGUGACGGUUUCGCUGCUGAAGCCGGGCGGCGCUCUGCUGACGGCCAGCGAGAGCCUGUGCCGCCUGCGGGGCCGCGUGGCGCUGGCCGACAUCGCCUUCACCGGUGGCGGGAACAUCGUGGUGGCGGCGACCGACGGCAGCAGCUCCUCGCCGGUCCAGUUCUACAAGGUGGUGGUGAGCGUGGUGAGCGAGAAGUGCCGCAUCGACACGGAGCUGCUGCCGUCGCUCUUCCUGCGCUGCACCACCGACCCGCUGCGGAGGGACAAAUAUCCGGCCGUUACGCACCUCAAGUUCCUAACCCGGGAGAACUCUGAGCAGGUGCUGCUGUGCGCGUCCAAUCAGAGCGGUAGCAUCGUGGAGUGCUGGUCCCUCAGGAAGGAGGGACUUCCUGUCAACAACAUCUUCCAGCACCGCUCUCCAGUCGUGGGCGAGAAGCAGCCGACCAUCUUGAAGUGGCGCAUCCUGACAACCACUGGCGACCUGGAGCGCGUCUCCGCUGUGGCGCUGCCCAAGCUGCCCAUCUCCAUCUCCAACACCGACCUGAAGGUGGCGUCGGACACCAAGUUCUGUCCCGGCUUGGGUCUGGCCCUGGCAUUCCACGACGGCAGCAUCCAGAUCCUGCACCGCCUGUCCCUCCACACCAUGGGCGUGUUCUACGGUGCCGCUCAGCGGCCCGGGGACGACGCCGCCAUCAAGCGCCCGCGUACCGCCGGCCCCGCCCUCCACUUCAAGGCGCUGCAGUUCUCCUGGACCUCGCUGGCGCUGGCCGGGGUGGACGGCCACGGCAAGCUCCACAUGCUGCGUGUGUCGCCCUCUAUGGGCCAGGUGCUGGACAUGAACACCACGCUGCGUCACCUGCUGUUCCUGCUGGAGUACUGCAUGGUGACGGGCUAUGACUGGUGGGACGUGCUGCUGCACGUGCAGCCCAGCAUGGUGCACAACCUGGUGGAGAAGCUGCAUGAGGAGUACAUGCGGCAGAACCAGGCGCUGCAGCAGGUUCUGGCCACACGUAUCGUAGCCGUCAAGGCGUCUCUCUGCAAACUCUCCACGGCGACGGCGGCGCGGGCGUGCGACUUCCAUGCCAAGUUGCUGCUCAUCGCUAUCAGCUCCACCCUGAAGUCCCUGCUACGUCCACACGUCCUCAACACGCCCGACAAGAGUCCGGGCGACCGGCUGACUGAGAUCUGCGCCAAGAACACCGACACAGAUAUUGAUAAGGUGAUGAUCAACCUGAAGACAGAGGAGUUCGUCCUGGACGGGCCCCCCCUGCAGUCCCUGCAGCAGCUCAUUCAGUGGGUGGGAGACUUUGUCCUCUACCUGCUGGCCAACCUGCCCAACCAGGUGAGCCAGGGCUCGGCGGUGCGGCCCGGGUUCGGUUUCAUGAGAGACGGGGCGUCGCUGGGAAUGCUGCGGGAGAUGCUGGUGAUGAUUCGGAUCUGGGGCCUGCUGAAGCCCGGCUGCCUGCCCACCUUCACCGCCAUGUCAGACAACCAGGACAGCAUGCAGCUGCUGUUCCGGCUGCUCACCAAGCUGUGGCUGUGCUCGCGGGACGACGGCCCCCCCCAGGAACCCGACGAAAGCCUGAUAGACGAGUGCUGCCUGCUGCCCAGUCAGCUGCUGGUUCCCAGUAUGGACUGGCUCCCAGUGAACGACGGCAUCAUCGUGAAGCUGCAAGGGAAGCUGCCGCUGCGGCUGCAGUUCGGGAAAGCCUCGUCGCUGCAGGGUGUGGGAGGCUCCGCCCCCCUGGAUAUGUUCACCAGGAGUCCUGGAGCUCAGAAGAUGGACAACCUGCGCUGCAUUCACAUGGGUGUCAGCCCCACCGAGGAGAGCAAGGCCUGCACCAGGUGUGGCUGCGUGACAAUGCUUCGCUCCCCCAACAAGACCAACGCCAUGAAGCAGUGGGAGCAGCGCUGGAUCAAGAACUGCCUGUGUGGAGGUCUGUGGAGGAGGAUGCCGCCCAUCUUCACCUGAUAGCCAUGGAGAUGAUGUCUGAAGGAAGCUCCUGCUUCCUGUUUGCUUCAGCGGCCCCUGUGUUCUCUCGCCCCCGCCAGCGCCGCCGCAUCGCCCGCAGACAGAAAGACGUUCACGGUUCUGCGGAGGAACGUUGUCUGAACCAGCACCUGAUGGGUUUAGAUCGGAACCGGAGCCAGCAGCAGCCG